AUUCGCUCAGCGUCGUAAACUGCUUUUAUCUACGAAGAACGGCAGAGAUGAGUCUUUGUGUGACGGUAGUAGAGGAAUAAGCACCGGCUAACUCCGUGCCAGCAGCCGCGGUAAUACGGAGGGUGCAAGCGUUGUCCGGAUUUAUUGGGUUUAAAGGGUGCGUAGGUGGCAUCUUAAGUCUGGUUUGAAAGCAGGCGGCUUAACCGUCUGAUGUGGCUGGAAACUGGGGUGCUUGAAUGCGUUGGCGGUAGCCGGAACGGGUCAUGUAGCGGUGAAAUGCAUAGAUAUGACCCAGAACACCGAUUGCGAAGGCAGGCUACUACGACGUGAUUGACACUGAGGCACGAGAGCAUGGGUAGCGAACAGGAUUAGAUACCCUGGUAGUCCAUGCCGUAAACGAUGAUUACUGGCUGUGUGUGUUCUAACAUGAGUGGCUGAGCGAAAGCGUUAAGUAAUCCACCU
rnacentral:rRNA from 1 species